GCGAUUAUACCAAGACUAAUGCACCGGAUCCCAUCGAAUCUGGGUUAAGCGUGCUUGGGCGAGAGCAAUACUAGGAUGGGUGACCCGGAAGUCCUCGUGUUGCACCU
rnacentral:rRNA from 1 species